AGAUUAAGCCAUGCAUGUCUAAGCACAAGCCGAAUACGGUGAAACCGCGAAUGGCUCAUUACAACAGCCACUGUUUACUUGAUCUUGAUUAUCCUACUUGGAUAACUGUGGUAAUUCUAGAGCUAAUACAUGCAACCAAGCUCCGACCGUAAGGGACGAGCGCAUUUAUUAGAACAAAACCAAUCGGGCUUCGGCCUGAGGUUUGGUGAAUCUGAAUAACUGAGCUGAUCGCAUGGUCUUUGUACCGGCGACGCAUCUUUCAAGUGUCUGCCUUAUCAACUUUCGAUGGUAGUUUAUGUGCCUACCAUGGUUGUAACGGGUAACGGAGAAUAAGGGUUCGACUCCGGAGAGGGAGCCUGAGAAACGGCUACCACAUCCAAGGAAGGCAGCAGGCGCGCAAAUUACCCACUCUCGGCACGAGGAGGUAGUGACGAAAAAUAACGAGGCGGUUCUGUAAGAGGCCCGCUAUCGGAAUGGGUAUGCUUGUCUCAAAGAUUAAGCCAUGCAUGUCUCAGUACUUGCUUUAACAAGGCGAAACCGCGAAUGGCUCAUUAAAUCAGUUAUGGUUCACUAGAUCGUACAGUUUACAUGGAUAACUGUGGUAAUUCUAGAGCUAAUACAUGCAACCAGUCCGUUCCCUCGUGGAGCGGACGCAGUUAUUUGCCCAAGACCAAUCCGGCCCUCGGGUCGGUCAAUUGGUGACUCUGAAUAACCGAAGCGGAGCGCAUGAUCUCGUAUCGGCGCCAGAUCUUUCAAGUGUCUGACUUAUCAGCUUGUUGUUAGGUUAUGUUCCUAACAAGGCUUUUACGGGUAACGGAGUGUCAGGGCCCGACACCGGAGAGGGAGCCUGAGAAACGGCUACCACAUCCAAGGAAGGCAGCAGGCGCGCAAAUUACCCACUCCCGGCACGGGGAGGUAGUGACGAAAAAUAACGAUGCGAGAGCGUUUAGCUUCUCGUAAUCGGAAUGGGUACACUUAAAUCCUAA
rnacentral:rRNA from 1 species